GACGAAGGGGGCUAGCGUUGUUCGGAAUUACUGGGCGUAAAGCGAGUGUAGGUGGUUGUCCAAGUUGGAUGUGAAAGCCUUGAGCUCAACUCAAGAAAUGCAUUCAGGACUGGGCGGCUAGAGGACCGGAGAGGAUAGUGGAAUUCCCAGUGUAGUGGUGAAAUACGUAGAGAUUGGGAAGAACACCAGUGGCGAAGGCGGCUCACUGGCCCGAUACUGACGCUGAGGCACGAAAGCGUGGGGAGCAAACAGGG
rnacentral:rRNA from 1 species